GUAGGGCAGUGGUCCCCAACCGACGGUCCGCGGACCGGUACAGGUCCGCAGGGCAUUUGGCACUGGGCCGCACAGAAAGAACUUGCCUUAAUUCCGUUUUAUUUAUUUCGGAAUACGAAAGAUGUUUUAUUUUGAAAAAUUACCGGAUUCUCCGUUACAUCCGUCUGUGUCACGCUUGACUCACGUCAAGCCACGCUUCUACGUAAUGUGACCGAUUACGCUAAAAACAAAACGCUGGAGGUCGCAAAUGAUCGCGGCCUUAAAAGUACGUUCGAGACAACUGGAUUAAAGUGAUGGCUGAAAACUCUGAGAUCGCCACAAUAGCACUGUUGCUAUUUCUGACAUCCUACCUGUGUGAGGUGGGGGGUUUCUACAGCAACGGCGACUAAAACAAAAUUACAAAGUAGAAAGGACAUAAACCACACACUUGAGGUGUCAUUGUCUCCUAUUACCCCGAGAUGGGACCGUCUAGUUGCAGAAAAUCAAGCUCGGGGCUGUGCUACUUACAACUUGGCUCUCUGUGACAAAGUCAACAGCUUUUCUUCAUCAAACUGGACCACACCUCCGACCUGGAGCAGCUGCAGUAGAACCUUGAAACCAAGAACAUACAUAGCCCAGUCAUGAUGUCAAAAAUCAGUUUGUGUGUAGAUAACAAAGCCCAAGUACAGACCUGAGAUUUAUUAGAUCGUUUUGAUGAAGGCUUGUAAUUCAACUUCACAGGAAUAUUAUUUUCCCCUUCACCCACUAAACACAAUUUUAUCCCAAGUGACAACUUUAACUGUUUUUAUUGUUUAUAUGAUGUUUGAGUACUAAAGCUGUGGGUAGUUUGUGGCAGGACGUUAACACUUGACUGAUGUUAGCGGUGUAGCAGCUACCCAGCUAUAUCUCCGCGAUAUGUAGCAGAGGCAGUCCUCGUGACAGCUCGCAUUUUCUUUGGAAAUGUUAUUGAUUAUAAAUCAGUAAGUACGUACCACACAGUGAAAAACUAUCACCCCUUCCUCUUUAUUGUGACGAGGCGCAUAACAUCGGGGUGACUGAGAUUUUAAAUCCCUGUACUUGUAAAUGUGAACAUUUUUCCUAAUUUUUAACAGACUUUUGCACAAUCCAGGUGUGUGGGGGGAAAUUUGGAUCCUUUUAUUUUUUUAAUUGCAUAUUAUUCCUGGGUUUCCAAGCGUAAUGUGAAACUCGGUUGUAAAUAUCUGUAAUUGGACACAAGUAUGCACAUACAUGUUUUGAAAUGUUUUUAUUUUAUUAUUCAAUUUUUUAAUUUAAUUCUUUUGUCUUCAAAGAAAGUAAUCUGUUGAAGUGGUGUGGAGGCACCCUAGCCCCCCUCUAUUGAUCGGCUGCCACUGAGGAAGACUGCUUUUAAAUUAGAAUCAUAACAAAAACCUGCUGUCGUUCCGUGUGUCGUGAGGCAUCAUCUGAUCUGCAUAGAAA